UUGUUAUUGAGUUUUUCUUUUGGAUUCGAUAGGGACACAUUCGUGAACCGCACAUCGAUGCACGACACAUCGACUCAUCAACACAGCAUACUUUCGAGAAUUUCUAUCUUGUGGCAUAAUAACGACAUGAGAGAUAAUGAAUCUUCGUUUAAUCUGAUUAGGAAAUAGAUGUAUGUAUUGAAUGCGAGUUUCAUGAAGGACCCAAUAAAUAUAGAUUGAUGAAAGCAUA